GAACGCUGGCGGCAUGCCUUACACAUGCAAGUCGAACGGCAGCACGGGUGCUUGCACCUGGUGGCGAGUGGCGAACGGGUGAGUAAUACAUCGGAACGUACCUUAUCGUGGGGGAUAACGCAGCGAAAGCUGUGCUAAUACCGCAUACGCCCUGAGGGGAAGCGGGGGAUCGCAAGACCUCGCGCUAUUGGAGCGGCCGAUAUCAGAUUAGCUAGUUGGUGGGGUAAAGGCCUACCAAGGCGACGAUCUGUAGCUGGUCUGAGAGGACGACUAGCCACACUGGGACUGAGACACGGCCCAGACUCCUACGGGAGGCAGCAGUGGGGAAUUUUGGACAAUGGGCGCAAGCCUGAUCCAGCAAUGCCGCGUGCAGGAAGAAGGCCUUCGGGUUGUAAACUGCUUUUGUACGGAACGAAAAGGUCUGGGUUAAUACCCUGGGCUCAUGACGGUACCGUAAGAAUAAGCACCGGCUAACUACGUG
rnacentral:rRNA from 1 species